rnacentral:rRNA from 1 species
CAGCACCCCGAGUGGUCGGGACGAUUAUUGGGCCUAAAGCAUCCGUAGCCGGUUUUACAAGUCCUCCGUUAAAUCCAACUGCUUAACAGAUGGGCCGCGGAGGAUACUAUAAGACUAGGAGGCAGGAGAGGCAAGCGGUACUCAGUGGGUAGGGGUAAAAUCCGUUGAUCCAUUGAAGACCACCAGUGGCGAAGGCGGCUUGCCAGAAUGCGCUCGACGGUGAGGGAUGAAAGCUGGGGGAGCAAACCGGAUUAGAUACCCGGGUAGUCCCAGCUGUAAACGAUGCAGACUCGGUGAUGGACUAGCUUUAUGCUAGUCCAGUGCCGCAGGGAAGCCGUUAAGUCUGCCGCCUGGGUAGUACGGUCGCAAGGCUAAA